UAACAUUAUGGUAUCUUGCCAAGGGGGAAACUUUAAGAUCGAUUGGUGAUAGGUUUAACUUGAGUGAUUCCACCGUUUUCAACGUUACAAAUGACUAUAUUCAAUCAAUAGCAGAUUUAGGUGAUAAAUAUAUUGUUUGGCCUACAGAAAAUGAGAGUGUAGCUGUACAACAAGAAUUUAAAAAUUUAUGCGGCUAUCCAGGCAAGUGGAUGUAAUGUCUAAAUAAAUUUUCUUAUAAGGAAAUUAAUUUUAUAGGAGUAAUUGGUGCGAUUGAUGGAAGUCAUAUUUGUUGCAAAGUACCAGAAGAACAUCAGUCCAGUUAUAUAAAUAGAAAACAACAACAUUCUAUUGUACUGCAAGGAAUUUGCACGAGUAAUUACAUUUUCACAAAUGUUUUUAUUGGGUACCCUGGUUCGGUUCAUGAUUCAAGAGCAAGUGUUACAAAAUUCUGGUAUUUAUCAUGAUAUGAUGGAAAAUGGGAUAAAUAAAUAUUUUUACAAGAAGUAUCAUUUGUUAGGAGACUCUGCUUAUUUCUUGAGAGAUUGGCUUAUUACCCCUUAUACUGAUAAUGGAAGGCUUACGUUAAUACAGAAAAAGCACAAUAAACGUCACAGCAUGACGAGAGUUGUGAUUGAAAAUGCAUUUGCACGAUUAAAAGGGAGGUGGCGUAUAUUACACUAUGUAAAUGUAUGCAGCAUAAAAAAAAGUUGUCUUAAUAGUAAAGGCCUGCUGUGUACUCCACAACUUUACGUAUUUGCUAAAUGAUGUAUGGCCAGAAGUUGAAAAUCCUGCAAGUGAUACUGAUAUGGCUACUGGAAGAGAAAGCAGAAAUGCCGAAUAUGCAGCAGGUGUUACAAAGCGAAAUCAAAUUACAGAAUCGUUAUAAAAACAUGUACAUUCAGAUUAUAUAAUGUAUCAUAAAUUUAAUGAUUAUAAACUGCUACAAGGAUAUUAAGUACCUCUGAU